ensembl:snRNA U6 U6 spliceosomal RNA
UUGCUCGCUCUGGCUGCACAUAUGGUAAAAUUGGAAGGAUACAGAGAAGAUUGUCAUGGCCUCUGCACAAGGAUGACAUGAAUGAAGCAUUCCAUAUUUUU